rnacentral:rRNA from 1 species
GACGAACGCUGGCGGCGCGCCUAACACAUGCAAGUCGAACGGAGCUUAGAGAGCUUGCUUUUUAAGCUUAGUGGCGAACGGGUGAGUAACGCGUGAGUAACCUGCCCUAGAGUGGGGGACAACAGUUGGAAACGACUGCUAAUACCGCAUAAGCCCACGGUGCCGCAUGACACUGAGGGAAAAGGAUUUAUUCGCUUUAGGAUGGACUCGCGUCCAAUUAGCUAGUUGGUGAGGUAACGGCCCACCAAGGCGACGAUUGGUAGCCGGACUGAGAGGUUGAACGGCCACAUUGGGACUGAGACACGGCCCAGACUCCUACGGGAGGCAGCAGUGGGGGAUAUUGCACAAUGGGGGAAACCCUGAUGCAGCGACGCCGCGUGGAGGAAGAAGGUUUUCGGAUUGUAAACUCCUGUCGUUAGGGACGAUAAUGACGGUACCUAACAAGAAAGCACCGGCUAACU